UGCUCAGAUUGAACGCUGGCGGCAGGCCUAACACAUGCAAGUCGAGCGGUAACAGAGAGUAGCUUGCUACUUUGCUGACGAGCGGCGGACGGGUGAGUAAUGCUUGGGAACAUGCCUUGAGGUGGGGGACAACAGUUGGAAACGACUGCUAAUACCGCAUAACGUCUACGGACCAAAGGGGGCUUCGGCUCUCGCCUUUAGAUUGGCCCAAGUGGGAUUAGCUAGUUGGUGAGGUAAUGGCUCACCAAGGCGACGAUCCCUAGCUGGUUUGAGAGGAUGAUCAGCCACACUGGGACUGAGACACGGCCCAGACUCCUACGGGAGGCAGCAGUGGGGAAUAUUGCACAAUGGGCGCAAGCCUGAUGCAGCCAUGCCGCGUGUGUGAAGAAGGCCUUCGGGUUGUAAAGCACUUUCAGUCAGGAGGAAAGGUUAGUAGUUAAUACCUGCUAGCUGUGACGUUACUGACAGAAGAAGCACCGGCUAACUCCGUG
rnacentral:rRNA from 1 species